rnacentral:rRNA from 1 species
UACGUAGGUGGCAAGCGUUGUUCGGAAUUACUGGGCGUAAAGCGCGUGUAGGCGGCUCUUCAAGUCAGGCGUGAAAGCCCCGGGCUUAACUCGGGAACUGCGCUUGAUACUGUCGAGCUAGAGUGUGGAAGGGGCGAUUGGAAUUCCGUGUGUAGCGGUGAAAUGCGUAGAGAUCCGGAAGAACACCGGUGGCGAAGGCGGUGAGCUGGGCAGUUGCUGACACUGAGGCGCGACAGCGUGGGGAGCAAACAGG